UCUAAUAUGGCAGAAUAAGUGCCAUGGAUUUAAGCUCCAUAUAUAAAGAAAUAUCCUUUUAUUAGAA
rnacentral:tRNA from 1 species